GUGCCAGCCGCCGCGGUAAUACCGGCAGCCCGAGUGAUGGCCGAUCUUAUUGGGCCUAAAGCGUCCGUAGCUGGCCGGACAAGUCCGUUGGGAAAUCCACGUGCCCAACACGUGGGCGUCCAGCGGAAACUGUCCGGCUUGGGGCCGGAAGACCCGAGGGGUACGUCCGGGGUAGGAGUGAAAUCCCGUAAUCCCGGACGGACCACCGAUGGCGAAAGCACUCUGAGAAGACGGCUUCGACAGUGAGGGACGAAAGCUAGGGUCUCAAACCGGAUUAGAUACCCUUGUAGUCC
rnacentral:rRNA from 1 species